GAGAGUUGGCUGUUGCUUGCUGCUUGCUGCAUAAGGUUGUUCUUUUCGUCCGGCUGUCUAACUAUGUAGACUCUAACUCUCCCUUCAGGAGUCCAGCAAUUAACAUCUGCUGUUGAACAUCCAUUAUCCUAUAACAUCCUUUGUUGUUUUAUUACGUAUCCAUAACUGUAAGAAUAAACCUGAAGAAACCGUAAGUCAGAUUGCGUAUUGGUAUUUUUAGUUAAUAUAGACAUAUAUCAACCUGGCGUGCCUUUUACCCAAGAAGAAAUAUAUAUAAAAUACUUAUUUCAAUCAAUCUGGAACAACACAGAGAAAAGGCAAUUGUAUUACAUCUGGCUGGCCAUCCAGUCUUCUAUUCAAGUUUUUUUUCCCACUUCCAGGGGGAGAGAGAAUAAUCGAGUUACAAAGCUGAGUUUUGGAACUAGGAAAUCAAACUUGAAGAGA